CUCUCUCUCUCUCAAUACUACAAUCUACAAUUUACAAUCCAUAAUUUAUAUUACUACACUUCACAAUCUUCAAAUUUCUCUUCAAAUAUUCUUGUGAAUUAUUUUGAAGAGAAAUUACCACUAGAUAUUAAUUUUAGGUUAAUUAAAAUAUAAAAAGAGAAAAUAACAAAAAAAUAAACAUAAAAAAAAUCACUUAAAUUCUUGGAUUUA
rnacentral:lncRNA from 1 species